UCUAGGAGGAAAUGGGUGGUACCCAAAAGUUCGAAAGGGGAGAUUCAAGUCUCGCCGCGCCCCAGCCUAAUGCCGCGGGUGGAGUCUGCGAGGCCUGCCUCUCCGCGAGGUACAAAGCACGGAAGAAGUCGACGCGCCCCUUGUUGGCGUCCGGCCCUCUGCAAGCGCCAGCAGGAGUCUGGGCUGGGGGCCCGGCGCAAUCCCGGUCCCUCCGUGGGGCUGUUUGCGAGAAAGAGGUGUCCUCGGACAGCGUUGAUUCUCCAGUCGGCGACGCUUCAGCUUGGAUGGCCUACCCGACCC
rnacentral:rRNA from 1 species